AAAGGUGGCUAUGCUACCGCUUUUGGAUGGGCCCGCGGCGCAUUAGCUAGUUGGUGGGGUAAAGGCUUACCAAGGCAAUGAUGCGUAGCCGAACUGAGAGGUUGAUCGGCCACAUUGGGACUGAGACACGGCCCAAACUCCUACGGGAGGCAGCAGUAGGGAAUCUUCCACAAUGGGCGAAAGCCUGAUGGAGCAACGCCGCGUGGGUGAAGAAGGUCUUCGGAUCGUAAAACCCUGUUGUUAGAGAAGAAAGUGCGUGAGAGUAACUGUUCACGUUUCGACGGUAUCUAACCAGAAAGCCACGGCUAACUACGUGCCAGCAGCCGCGGUAAUACGUAGGUGGCAAGCGUUAUCCGGAUUUAUUGGGCGUAAAGGGAACGCAGGCGGUCUUUUAAGUCUGAUGUGAAAGCCUUCGGCUUAACCGGAGUAGUGCAUUGGAAACUGGGAGACUUGAGUGCAGAAGAGGAGAGUGGAACUCCAUGUGUAGCGGUGAAAUGCGUAGAUAUAUGGAAGAACACCAGUGGCGAAAGCGGCUCUCUGGUCUGUAACUGACGCUGAGGUUCGAAAGCGUGGGUAGCAAACAGGAUUAGAUACCCUGGUAGUCCACGCCGUAAA
rnacentral:rRNA from 1 species